AAAAAAAAAAAAGGCAAGUUUGAUUUUCUUGAUUGGGCCCAAAGGCUCUUGGCAAUUCCCACGCUUAUAUAGAAGCAUGUCUAGUUAUGCCCGGGGCUUCUUCAGACAUUCUCCCUGAUCCCGCGCCUGCACACACAUCGCGCACACACAUCACACACACAGUUCGCCGGGAAUAUGGCAGACGCCACCGUUAAGGUGGCCGAGGACGGCAUUGCGGAGCCACCGAGAUCAGCUCUCAUAUUUCUUGGUACCGGUUGUUCGAGCGCGGUGCCGAAUUUGUUGUGCUUGAUCCAGCCUUCCGAUCCCCCCUGUCACGUCUGCUCCCAAUCUUUAUCACUACCGCCGGACCAAAACCCUAAUUACAGGUGCAAUACGUCCCUCCUAAUUGACUAUUGCAGCCCUGAGGGAAAACAUAAAUAUAUUUUGAUAGAUGUUGGCAAGACAUUUUGGGAGCAAGUACUCCGAUGGUUCACCUUUUAUAAAAUUCCACAAAUAGAUUCUAUUAUAUUAACUCAUGAACAUGCUGAUGCUGUUCUUGGUUUGGAUGAUAUACGCACUGUGCAACCUUUUAGUCCAACAAAUGACAUUGAUCCAACUCCCAUCUAUCUCACCCAAGAUGCAAUGAAAAGCAUUGCAGUGAAAUUCCCUUACUUGGUCCAGAAAAACCUGAAACCUGGUCAGGAAAUAAGACGUGUAGCACAACUUGACUGGAAAAUUAUAGAGAGUGAUUGUACAAAGCCAUUUGUGGCAUCUGGACUAGAAUUUGUUCCACUUCCUGUGAUGCAUGGUGAAGAUUAUGUAUGCUUAGGUUUUCUCUUUGGUGAAAGAUAUAAAGUAGCAUACAUAUCGGACAUUUCACGCUUUCCUCCAACUACAGAAUCCUAUAUUUCAAAAGACGGUGGUCAACAGUUAGAUCUCCUUAUUUUGGACACCCUGUAUAAGAAAGGAUCCCACAACACUCACUUCUGCUUCCCUCAGAGUCUUGAUGCCGUGAAGAGGAUAUGCCCAAAGAGAGCUUUGUUUAUUGGAAUGACCCAUGAGUUUGAUCACCAGAGAGACAACGAAUUUCUUGAGGACUGGUCUAAAAGAGAAGGAAUACCGGUUCAGCUUGCAUAUGAUGGACUGCGACUCCCUGUGGACCUUUGAUGAGUGAAGACCUUGUGCACUGCAGCCUAUAUGUGACGGUUCCCGUUCAAAGUAAUCUCUAAAACCAAGUAUCCCACUGUUAGCUGGAAGUUGGCCUGAUAAAAGUUGCUAAAACUAUUCUUUCCUGAAUGGUUGCUAAGCACAAGGAUAUAUAGGUUAAACUUUUGAGCUGUUUAUCAACAGUUGAUAGUGAUAGUUUUUCCCCAUAAAUGUUUUUAGAAGGGGAAUAAAGUACAUAUACUGGAAUUUAGUGUCUGAACCUAACUCGAGUACAAACAAAAGAUAUGGAAGUGCCAGCAAGAUUAAGGGGGAUAGUGAAAUAGAGUAUAUUAGAUUCCCUAGCCCCUUCUGGUUUUAUUUGUGAGAACCUGUGCUACACGAGUUAAAUUUCAUUGUUGUUUAGCAUGCUUUGAUGUUAACUGUAAUGCUUGUCAUACUAGUACUCUUUGAUGUUGGUUAAAUCAGGUGGCGUUUCGCCCUUCAGUCUCUCGCUCCUGUAGUGAACCUGUAUUGGUUAAAAAAUUGUACAAGGAUCAUGUUUCCUGCCAAAAUAUUUUCCUACUAAUGUAUAGUGACAAUAACGUUGUCCAGCACAUAGUUUAUGAUGAGAGAUUUCAGUGUUUCCCUGGUAAAACAAUUCCAUUUAAAAAAAAAAUUGUAAUAUGUUUUUGUUCUUGAAGGGUGGCAACAAGGAGCAUCAAAAUUUUCAGAAGUUGAUUGGAAUUCGUCUUUUGGAACUAGUGAGAUUCAUCAACGGCAUUUAUGACUAAAUAAAGACAUUCUACCAGCAAAUAACUCUCUGGGAAAUUUUUAAUGUACCUGACUAUCAAAAAAGGUACUGUAAGAUAAAAGAAAAAAGUGCGUUCAAAAUUCAAAACAUGUUAAUUCUUGUUUAUUUAUGAGUUUGUUAUUUUUCUCAGACGUCACGCAUUAAAAAGACAAAGUUCUAGAAAGGAAAACCCUCCAACUGUUUUAUCUAAUAACCCAACGUAGUCAACAUGUUAGACAUUCGAGAUGUCCGUUCAACUCAUUGAGCAUUAUUUUAUUGUUUUGGUCCAAAAAAGAAAUCAAACAUAGACCAACCAACCAGAUUGCUAUGACUCUGAAAUUCAAACCUGAGAAAAAUCUUCCACUUCAAUCUCUGUUUUUCCUGACAUUCAUAAUACAGAUAACUGUGCCAGGAAUCAGGAAAGCAGAAGUAAAUACACAAGAAAACAACGAAGAGAAAAUAGAUCAUAUAUGGCGUGUUAUGUUCCUUUUAACAACAGGAACCUGGAUAUAAGCUUCUUCGUAUUCAGGCCUACGGUCGUAUGUGUGGAUGAUCUUGUCGAUGCUCUAAGGCAAUUUUCAUUGUACACUGAGAGCCUUGGUUGUGUUCACAGUUCGAUAUUCAGAAGUAUUCAUGGCAACAUGAUUAUAUGGUAUGGGGCAUGGAUGAAGAGGACUCAUGAGAACAAGCAACUGCUAAGUGCUACUCUUCUAUCUGUGUUGGCCAAUGUAGCAAGCAUGGCCAUCUUGAUAGAGCACAGCUUCUUCGAUGCAUAUGCGGGAGAAUCAAGAGAUGGCUCACCGGCCGCGAAAUUCUUCACCGGUGGCAUUGUCUCCCUGUCUUCAGCCACCCUUUCAGCCAAUGAAACCGGAGUUUCUUAUGACUGCUUCCCGAUAAUCAAAGACAGAUUCCACAAGAUGGAUGGUACAACGGCUGGAGUUUGUUUUAAAUCCCAGAGCAUGCCAAGAAUUGUUGGACUCUUUGUUUGGAAGUCACUUCAAUGUUGCUACACAUACAUAUUGACCUCGGAGUAUCGGAAGACGGCUGUUCGUUACCUUGAUGGUUUAGCGCUCGACAUUAAGUACGACGUUUUUCGGGUAGUGUAUGUCAGUGGUGACAGUGUCCUGAAUGUUCAGUUCUGCCCUCAUCACACGGUACUGGAGAAUGAAGUAGACAAGAAGGAGGCCUACCCUGUUGUGCAAGAAUUCAAAGAUUUAUGAAGGUUCUCGAUAAUUUGUCUCAAUUUUGAUUUGUACAUGUGUUGAUGUGAUUAUAA